rnacentral:misc_RNA from 1 species
AAUAAUUUUUGUUUUAUAGUAUAAAGAAUUUAAAACGAAAAAAUUAGAUCCAGACUACAGGUUGAAGAGAAGAAGAUUAUUAACAUCAACCACAGCAUCUUCAAGCAGACUGACUAAUUUAAAACGAAUAAAUUAUAAAGAAGAUUCAGAUGUAGAAAUUUUAAAUGUGUUUAAAUCAAGUACAAAAAAUCUUGAUAAUGAUAUAGAUUCAGUUACAGAGGAUUCUUCAAAGAAAGUUAAAAAAAAUGGAAAUUUAAGUAAUAAAAGUGAUAAAAGUAAUGGUUUACCAGAGUGUGCAGCUAAUUAUGAUAAUUCUUUUCAAGUAAAUUCUCAAUCUUCAAAAUGUGAAAAGUAUAAAGAAUUUAAAACGAAAAAAUUAGAUCCAGACUACAGGUUGAAGAGAAGAAGAUUAUUAACAUCAACCACAGCAUCUUCAAGCAGACUGACUAAUUUAAAACGAAUAAAUUAUAAAGAAGAUUCAGAUGUAGAAAUUUUAAAUGUGUUUAAAUCAAGUACAAAAAAUCUUGAUAAUGAUAUAGAUUCAGUUACAGAGGAUUCUUCAAAGAAAGUUAAAAAAAAUGGAAAUUUAAGUAAUAAAAGUGAUAAAAGUAAUGGUUUACCAGAGUGUGCAGCUAAUUAUGAUAAUUCUUUUCAAGUAAAUUCUCAAUCUUCAAAAUGUGAAAAGGAAAAUAAUUCCAAGAUCAAAAAUAGAGAAAGAAAAAGUAUUAAAUCAACAAAAUCCAAAAAG